GACGAACGCUGGCGGCGUGCUUAACACAUGCAAGUCGAACGGAAAGGCCCUGCUUUUGUUGGUUGCUCGAGUGGCUAACUGGUUAGUAACACGUGAGUAACCUGCCCUUUACUUUGGGAUAACUUCAGGAAACUGGGGCUAAUACCGGAUGGGAGCUCCUGCUGCUUGGUUGUGUUUGGAACGUUUCGGCGGUUGGGGAUGGACUCGCGGCUUAUCAGCUUGUUGGUGGGGUAGUGGCUUACCAAGGCUAGGACGGGUAGCCGGCCUGAGUGGGUAACCGGCCACAUUGGGACGGAAAUACGGCCCAGACUAAUACGGGAGGCAGGAGUGGAGAAUAGAGCACAAUGGGCGGGAGCAUGAUGCAGCGAAGCCGCGUGGGGGAAGACAGCCAUGGGGUUGAAAAGCGAAGUCGCCUGUGACGAAGAGUGAGUGACGGUAAUAUGUAAAGAAGCACCGGCUAACUACGUG
rnacentral:rRNA from 1 species